UGAAAAUAUAUUAUUUUAAUUUCAAGGCUUUCAGAGAAAAUAGAAAACACACGAUUUUGGCACAGAAGCUCAACAAUGAUAAAACCAAAAGAUAAAGUGUUAGGAUAAGUGUGCAUGAUAUUUUUGCGUAACAAAGAAGAAAUAUUGCAAUAAAAAAGCAAUAAAAGAGGGACGAAAGAUACCAUAGGGAGAGUCAAACUCAUAAAUCGGAAAUAAACUGACAACGCCUGACUAAAAAUGAAAAAGACAAACAGACAAACAAUAGAACACAAGACACAACAUAGAAAACUAAAGAAUGAGCAACACGAACCCCAUCAAAAACUAGGGGUGACAUCAGGUGCUCUGGAAAGGUAAGCAGAUCCUGCUCCAUAUGUGGCACCCGUUGUGUUGCUUAUGUUAUAAAAAAAAUCCGGUAAAUAGUCUAAUUCGGUAGGUCACAUUCAUGAAAGGGAAGGGGAUUGUAGUUACGACUUAAAGAACAUAUCCGAUAUCAUUUUUGAAACGGUUAUUCAAUAACGGUCAACAGCUCGACCAAUAAAUCGUUGAAGAACUGGCAAUACCAUGGCAAAAAAAAAGACGAAAAGAAAACCAAUUAUUCACUUAACACUACAUUGACCAACACGAACCCAUGAAAACUCUUGGAUGACCUCAAGACCUCCGGAAGAGUAAGCAGUUCCACCCCACACUAGUUGUAUUCCAUAGAACUAUUAACAACUAGGUUUUGUCACAACAGAAUACAAUUGAGAAUGGAAAUGGGGAAUAUGCCUAAGAGACAACAACCCGACCAUAGAAAAAAAAAACAACAUCAGAAGGUCACCAACAGGUCUUCAAUGUAGUGAGAAAUUCCCGCACCCGGAGGCGUCCUUCAGCUGGCCCCUAAACAAAUAUAUACUAAUUCAGUGAUAAUGAACGCCUUACUAAUUUCCAAAUUGUACACAAGAAACUAAAAUUAAAAUAAUACAAGACUAACAAAGGCCAGAGGUUCCUGACUUGGGAUAGGCGCAAAAAUGCGGCGGGGUUAAACAUGUUUGUGAGAUCUCAACCGUCCCCCUAUACCUCUAGCCAAUGUAGAAAAGUAAACGCAUAACAAUACGCACAUUAAAAUUCAGUCCAAGAGAAGUCCGAGUCUGAUGUCAGAAGAUGUAACCAAAGAAAAAAAAUCAAAAUGACAAUAAUACAUAAAGAACAACAGACUACUAGCAGUUAACUGACAUGCCAGCUCCAGACUUCAAUUAAACUGACUGAAAGAUUAUGAUUUCAUCAUAUGAACAUCAGGCACAAUCCUUCCAGUUAGGGGUUUAGUAUCAUACCAUCAUAACAUAUAUGAGAAGAACAUAACCCGUGUCAUGCCAACAACUGGUUUUUGAAUAAAUGUGUUUAGUUCCGAUGCAAAGACCCUAUAAGUGAAUCUUAACGCCAAAAUAUGCAAUCUUUAAUGACCUGACAACAGUAUCGUAACUAUAUCCCUUCUUAAUAAGUCUAUUCAAAGGUUUUGUUAGUUUUUGAGGUGAAUACUGACACAUUUGUGCUUUAUAAAGAAUAUUUCCAUAAAAAAUUGGAUGUGAAAUACCUGAACCUAUAAGAUGUCUGCAUGGUGAGCUAUGUUUACGAAUGAUGUCCUUAUACCGAUGAUAAAAUUUAGUAAAUGUUUUGACUAGUUUGUGAUAUCGAAAACCCUGGUGUAAUAAUUUUUCAGUAGUACAUACAUUUCUCUCGUUAAAAUCUAAAACAUUGUUACAUACACGAGCGAAUCGACUACACG
rnacentral:lncRNA from 1 species